rnacentral:rRNA from 1 species
UACGGAGGGUGCAAGCGUUAUCCGGAUUUACUGGGCGUAAAGCGUGCGCAGGCGGUUCGCUAAGACAGAUGUGAAAUCCCCGGGCUUAACCUGGGAACUGCAUUUGUGACUGGCGGGCUAGAGUAUGGCAGAGGGGGGUAGGAAUUCCACGUGUAGCAGUGAAAUGCGUAGAGAUGUGGAGGAACACCGAUGGCGAAGGCAGCCCCCUGGGUCAAGAUUGACGCUCAUGCACGAAAGCGUGGGGAGCAAACAGG